UUGAGUUCUGGUGGUCCAUAUUCAGAAAGGGAAGGUGUCAGUUCUGGAUGGAGCUAUUUGCAGACCUUAGAGAAGCUGGAUACUUAAAUGGGAGUCACGAGCAUCAGUGUCUGCUGAGAUAUUGCUUUGGUGAUGUUAUUCAGAGGGACUUGGAUGAGUGUAUGAGACUGUGGAACAGUCACAGGAUCCGCCCCUCCAGAACAGCAUCAUGUCCAGGAGGAGUGCCAAAUGAGCUCUACUACUUACCACACAGGUUUGGCUCCAGAGACUGUGGAUUUAAAAUCCAAAUGACUGAACUGGAUGCCUUUCCUGACGUUCAUCUGACAAGAGCUCCAUGUGGGGACCCAAACAUGCAAGAAUACUUGGACUUUGCAGUGGAGCACAAUCAUUUACA